rnacentral:pre_miRNA from 14 species
CACCUGGAAAUGUUGUGAAAAUGUGGAUUGAGACGGGGAGGGCCUUAUUCUGCAUUUCUAAGAAGUUCCCAGGUAAUGCCA